UACGUAGGGGCAAGCGUUAUCCGGAUUUACUGGGUGUAAAGGGAGCGCAGACGGAACUGCAAGUCUGAUGUGAAAGCCCGGGGCUCAACCGCGGGACUGCAUUGGAAACUGUAGAUCUGGAGUGCCGGAGGGGCAAGCGGAAUUCCUGGUGUAGCGGUGAAAUGCGUAGAUAUCAGGAGGAACACCGAUGGCGAAGGCAGGUCUCUGGGCAGUAACUGACGCUGAGUCACGAAAGCGUGGGUAGCAAACAGGAUUAGAUACCCCCGUA
rnacentral:rRNA from 1 species